UAAUCUAAUUAAACUAAUUAUAUUAUGCCACACAAGAUGAUAAUGUCGGAUCUUUGGCGCUGACCAUUAAUCCCAAAAGCUCGAACUUUUAAAAAUACGCAACCAAUUCACUUAAAGGGUGCAGAUACAGCGCUCAUGGGUCUCGAUUGUGACUCGGUCCAACCAACCUCACGCCACUUCGAAUAUGACUCGGCCCACCCAGCCUCACGCCAUUUCGAACAUAACUUGGCCCAACAUAGCCUCACACCACAAUGCAGGAUGAUGGCCCAUUUAAGCCAACAAUCCCUCCUCCACGAAUCCGUGACCUCUGGUUCAAAUGCCACUUGUUGGAUCGAUGGCGCUAACCAUUAAUCCAAAAGCUCGAGUUGUUAGAAAUACGCAACUAAUUCACUUAAGGCAUACAGAUAUAGCGUCCACGGAUCUCAAUUGUGACUCUGCCCGACCAACCUCACGCCACUUUGAAUAUGACUCGGCAUAUUCAACCUCACGCCAUUUCAAACAUGAUUUGACCCAACAUAGCCUCCCACCACAAGAUAGGAUGCUAGCUCAUUUAAGCCAACAGAAAGAGUCUAAUAAAGAGUAAUAUAAUAAUUUCGCAUGGAAAUGCUAUUUGUAAAAAAAUAAUUUUAUACUUUUAUACAAAU
rnacentral:lncRNA from 1 species